rnacentral:rRNA from 1 species
CAUAGCGUUACGUCGGGAACCGCCUGAACUGAAACAUCUAAGUAGGGCGAGGAAAAGAAAGAAACAUCGAUUCCGUAAGUAGCGGCGAGCGAAAGCGGAAGAGCCCAAACCGGUAUGCGUGCAUACCGGGGUUAUGGACUGCAAAAGUGAACCGAAUUGUUAGCCAAACUGUCUGGGAAGUCAGGCCAGAGAGGGUGAAAGCCCCGUAGGCGAAAACAAUAGGAAGCGGCAGUAUCCAGAGUACCACGAGACACGUGGAACCUUGUGGGAAGUCGGAGGGACCACCCUCCAAGGCUAAAUACUCCUUAGUGACCGAUAGCGCAUAGUACUGUGAAGGAAAGGUGAAAAGAACCCCGGGAGGGGAGUGAAAAAGAACCUGAAACCCUGUGUUUACAAACUGUGGAAGCACGUUAAAGUGCAACCGCGUACUUUUUGUAGAACGGUCCGGCGAGUUGCCGGUACGGGCAAGGUUAAGGACGAAACGUCCGGAGCCGAAGGGAAACCGAGUCUUAAUAGGGCCGGAGUCCGUACAGGCAGACCCGAAACCGGGUGAUCUAUCCAUGUCCAGGUUGAAGCCGCCGUAAAAGGCAGUGGAGGACCGGACGCACAUCCGUUGAAAAGGGUGGCGAUGAGGUGUGGAUAGGGGAGAAAUUCCAAUCGAACCCGGAGAUAGCUGGUUCUCCUCGAAAUAGCUUUAGGGCUAGCCUCAUAUGAGUCUACCGGAGGUAGAGCACUGAAUUUCCGCGGGGGCGUCAAAGCUUACCAAAGAAUAUCAAACUCCGAAUGCCGGAUAGAUGCUGUAUGGGAGUCAGGCUGCACGAGAUAAGUUGGGCAGCCAAAAGGGAAACAGCCCAGACCACCAGCUAAGGUCCCAAAGUGCGUGUUAAGUGGAAAAGGAUGUGGGAUUUCAAAGACAACUAGGAUGUUGGCUCAGAAGCAGCCACACAUUCAAAGAGUGCGUAAUAGCUCACUAGUCGAGAGGUCCUGCGCCGAAAAUGUCCGGGGCUAAAACACGCCACCGAAGCUGUGGAUUCAUGGAGACAUGAGUGGUAGAGGAGCAUUGCCAGUCUAGCGAAGCGGUACUGUAAGGAGCCGUGGAGGACUGGGAAGAGAGAAUGCCGGAAUGAGUAGCGAGAUGGAGGUGGGAAUCCUCCAGGCCGAAUAUCUAAGGAUUCCAGGGUAAAGCUGAUCUGCCCUGGGUAAGUCGGGACCUAAGGCGAGGUCGAAAGACGUAGUCGAUGGACAACAGGUUGAAAUUCCUGUACCAUGUAUGGUCAGAAAUGUGGGGACACAGAAGGAUACCCGGACCCGGGAAUGAGAAGACCGGGGCAAGCGAGGUAGGGGUAUGAAAGGAAAAACCAUCAUACAACCCGAAGACGUGAUGCGGACCGAACAAAAGUAGGGAAGCCGGAGAAUCAGACUGUCAAGAAAAGCCGCUAUUGCAUCAUA